rnacentral:rRNA from 1 species
GACAGAGGGCGCAAACGUUGCUCGGAAUUACUGGGCGUAAAGCGCGUGUAGGUGGAUUGGUGUGUCAGAUGUGAAAUCCCUGGGCUCAACCCAGGAACUGCACCUGAAACUACCAGUCUUGAGUGGUGGAGAGGGAAGUGGAAUUCCUGGUGUAGAGGUGAAAUUCGUAGAUAUCAGGAGGAACACCAGUGGCGAAGGCGGCUUCCUGGACACCAACUGACGCUGAGACGCGAAAGCGUGGGGAGCAAACAGG